rnacentral:rRNA from 1 species
UACGAAGGGGGCUAGCGUUGCUCGGAAUCACUGGGCGUAAAGCGCACGUAGGCGGACUCUUAAGUCAGGGGUGAAAUCCUGGAGCUCAACUCCAGAACUGCCUUUGAUACUGAGGAUCUUGAGUUCGGGAGAGGUGAGUGGAACUGCGAGUGUAGAGGUGAAAUUCGUAGAUAUUCGCAAGAACACCAGUGGCGAAGGCGGCUCACUGGCCCGAUACUGACGCUGAGGCACGAAAGCGUGGGGAGCAAACAGGG